CAUGAUAAAAGUCUUUAUUACUAUUUUGAAUAGUCCUAUGUUAAAUAUCUAUUUUUCUUUAAUAACUAAACUUUUACACAUAUUUUUCUAUUUCUCUCCAUAUUUAAUGACAUUAUUAUGGACAAUUUUGUCAUUUCAUUCAUCUUCUUAAUAUGCGUAAAAAAUUCAUCAGAAUUUUUACCUUGAGACGGAGGGAGGGAGUACUAUUUUU
rnacentral:lncRNA from 1 species